ensembl:snRNA U4 U4 spliceosomal RNA
AGCUUUGCACACUGGUAGGCAAUGAGGUUUCUCUAAGGUGAAAUUAUUGCUAAUUGAAAAUUUUGCCCAGUACCCCACGAUGAUGACUUGCAACAUAGUUGGCUCUGGCAAUUUUUGGAAGUCUCUAUGGAGA